CACACGACUCUCGGCAACGGAUAUCUCGGCUCUCGCAUCGAUGAAGAACGUAGCGAAAUGCGAUACCUGGUGUGAAUUGCAGAAUCCCGCGAACCAUCGAGUCUUUGAACGCAAGUUGCGCCCGAGGCCAYUCGGCCGAGGGCACGCCUGCCUGGGCGUCACGC
rnacentral:rRNA from 1 species